rnacentral:rRNA from 1 species
UGCCAGCCGCCGCGGUAAUACGGAGGGUGCGAGCGUUAAUCGGAAUUACUGGGCUUAAAGAGUUCGUAGGUGGUUGAAAAAGUUGGUGGUGAAAUCCCAGAGCUUAACUCUGGAACUGCCAUCAAAACUCUUCAGCUAGAGUAUGAUAGAGGAAAGCAGAAUUUCUAGUGUAGAGGUGAAAUUCGUAGAUAUUAGAAAGAAUACCAAUUGCGAAGGCAGCUUUCUGGACCAUUACUGACACUCAGAGGCGAAAGCUAGGGGAGCAAAAGGGAUUAGAUA